UACGUAGGGCGCAAGCGUUGUCCGGAUUUAUUGGGCGUAAAGAGCUCGUAGGCGGUUUGCUACGUCGGCCGUGAAAACCAGCAGCUUAACUGUUGGUUUGCGGUUGAUACGGGUUGGCUGGAGUUCGGUAGGGGAGACUGGAAUUCCUGGUGUAGCGGUGAAAUGCGCAGAUAUCAGGAGGAACACCGGUGGCGAAGGCGGGUCUCUGGGCCGAUACUGACGCUGAGGAGCGAAAGCGUGGGGAGCGAACAGG
rnacentral:rRNA from 1 species